GUCUCUGUGGCGCAACUGGUUAGCGCGUUCGGCUGUUAGCUAAGUGACUUAGCGGUAACCGAGAGGUUGAAAGUUCGAGCCUUUCCAGGGACG